rnacentral:rRNA from 1 species
UACGGGAGGCAGCAGUGGGGAAUUUUGGACAAUGGGCGCAAGCCUGAUCCAGCAAUGCCGCGUGCAGGAAGAAGGCCUUCGGGUUGUAAACUGCUUUUGUACGGAACGAAACGGUCUGGGUUAAUACCCUGGGCUAAUGACGGUACCGUAAGAAUAAGCACCGGCUAACUACGUGCCAGCAGCCGCGGUAAUACGUAGGGUGCGAGCGUUAAUCGGAAUUACUGGGCGUAAAGUGUGCGCAGGCGGUUUUGUAAGACAGGCGUGAAAUCCCCGGGCUUAACCUGCGAAUUGCGCUUGUGACUGCAAGGCUGGAGUGCGGCAGAGGGGGAUGGAAUUCCGCGUGUAGCAGUGAAAUGCGUAGAUAUGCGGAGGAACACCGAUGGCGAAGGCAAUCCCCUGGGCCAACACUGACGCUCAUGCACGAAAGCGUGGGGAGCAAACAGGAUUAGAUACCCUGGUAGUCCACGCCCUAAACGAUGAUGACUAGUUGUUGGGGGAGUUAAAUCCCUUAGUAACGCAGCUAACGCGUGAAGUCAUCCGCCUGGGGAGUACGGUCGCAAGAUUAAAACUCAAAGGAAUUGACGGAAGGGC